UUCAGUCACAAAGAGAAGGAAGGGCGAUUCGCCAUCGAGCAUCUCGCAACCUAAUUUUCAACCAAACAUGAAACCCAUGUUUUUCAAUUUUCAAGGUAUACGCAGCUUUAUUUUAUUUGUUAUUUUUUUCUAGAUUUAAUGUUUCGUAUUCAAUGUCUGUCUUCCAAUGGAUUCUGCAAUCUUAACUUUACCUCUGUUUUAGUAACCCUGAAAUCGAACUAGAUCUAAUUCAUAUGCUGUUCAAGAGAGCUCCUUUUAUCCAUCAGAGAGAUGUUGGAACAGGAAAGGUCGGUUGAGAACCCUAAAUCGUGGAAUAUGGGUUUAGCUUUUGCAAAUUUGUUAAAUAUCGAUUGGUAAGUACCGAAGGUUUGUUUGAACACUUGUUUUUGUUAGGAAACUUAGUAUGAAAUUUUCAGCCCUGUACAAGGAUUUUUUCUUAGUUUAAUAGAUGAGUUUUAUAUUAUCAACUAAUUGGAAAUCAUUGUUGGUUAUAAUUUUUAAGUUAUUAUUAUUAUUAUGAAAAUUGAUAGACUUAUUAUACAUGACGUUUCGAAUUCCUCUACACAUUCAUUACUUUUUUAAACUUAAUGUUCAACGUUUUUUUUGUCAAAAUCACAUUUCUCUUUUGCAAACGGGAAUUUCUAGGCUGUGCUUUCAUAAAUCUUAACAUGUCAGAUGUCUGAGUUUGUUCAGGCUAUAUUAGAUUGCUCUCGCUGUGCUGGAUUGCAGGUAUUUUCUGCUUCUUCAGAUGACGAACAUUGAGUUUAUAUUGCCCCUUGUCUGUUAUUUAUAGAAAUUGUGGAUCUUUAUGAUUUCAAUGAGUGAAUUCAAAUAUUGGAUAUUGGCUGCUUGAUGUUUGACACAUGGUUGUUUGUUGCGUGCUAUCUUCCAUUCCCUUAACAAUCAAAAGGAGUAUCUGCUUAACAUGGUUUUAUGGUAUUGGUUGUUAGAUGGUACUCACACUGCUAUCAUUAAAUAUCGUUGUUCAUGUCACUUCAUGUGUUGGAUACCUACUAAAUAUCACGUUAGCAAAUAAGCUGUUUACUGUGAAAAAUCUAACCUUGGAAGUCAUAAUGACCCCAAGAUAAUAUGAACUUAAAAGAAUUAGGAUUUCCUUUACCUAGAAAUCCAGAUUGAUUUGAGUGAUACAAGGUUUUCAAAUGGCUAUACAGAAUAUAAUUUUCUGCUUAGAUGUCUCACCAUAUUAUCAAGGAAAUAAAUGAAGUUCCAAAAAUUUGAAUAUAUAUGCUCCUAGGCAACUUGGCUAAUUGAAAACAAAUGUAGUUCUUUCUGUUAAGAAAUUUUAAUUGAAUGAUGAAACUUGAUAAAAAAAAUCAAGUGAAAUAUGUUGCCAUAUAGCUGGAGGCAGCAUUCAAAGGAUAAAAAUAGACAGUUGCAUUUGGUACCAUUUGGUGAGUGAUGAGUAAUACUAGCUUGGAGUUUUCCAGUUUUCCCGCAUACCUUUUUUGUGUAGUCUUUAGCUAUAUGAAAAUAUCAAACUCAAGUGUAGUCCAUAACUCCAUUGCCUAUCUAGUGUCGAGCCGAAUGGAUACUGAAGUUUUAUUCUCUAACCCUCUAUGCUAUAAAAUGCAAUAGCUACAUGGUUAUGUAUAUAAAAGAAAAGUAACUAACAGUCAGAAGAAGGCAGGUUCAAUUUCAAGACAUUGAACAAUUCUGGCUUUAGAAGUCAUAAUAAGAACAUAUACUUGCCUUGUUUUGGUUACUCUUCAACUACUUUUGAAGUGCAUCAUCAACCACUGCUAUUUACACAAUCAAAUGACUAAUUUAACAAUUAUAACUAUUCAAGCUUACCCCAUAUGUUUUAAGAGUGUUUUAAUGAUGUUUUUAAAAAAAAAAUAUGUAUUUCCAGUGUGAACUAUGUUACUCCUAAAUGGAUGAUUGUAAUACUGUACGAUGUUUAUAUUAUUGAUGAAAUAAUUUUGUGUGUGAGAUGUUUAAUUCGACACUUCACAAAAAAAGAUGGGGAUAAGAAUGUUUUACAUCAUCUUCUAAUUCCCAUGUAGAAUCACCUGUUUUUCUAUCCCAAACUACUCUCACUAAGUCGAUAGUUUUCCCUCUAAGCUCAUUUGUUUUAGUGUCUUCUAUACUAACAGGUUGCACUUCUACGGAUAGAUCCUCUCUGAUUUGAAUAUCUUCUACUUCUAAAAUGUGAGAAGGAUCAUGAACAUAUUUUCUUAGUUGAGAAACGUGAAAAAAUGAAUGGAGUUUGGCUAACUGAGGAGGUAACGCCAUCUCGUAAGCGACAAGCCCAAUUCUUCUCAAAAUUUGAUAUGGACCAAUGAACUUAGAAGAAAGUUUCUUCGAACGAAGAGCCCUUCCUACUCCUGUGGUUGAAAUGACCCGUAAAAUGACAUGAUCUCCGACUGCAAACUCCAAUGUAAUUCAGGUCCUAUCAAAGCCUUUUCACUAUCCUGGUACCAGCAUAAAGGAGUUCAACAUCGUCUUCCAUACAGAGCCUCGUAAGGUGCCAUUCCAAUACUAGCAUGAAAGCUAUUAUUAUAGAUUGUCCAUCGGUUUGGGGAUGAUACGCGGAACUCAUUAGUAACUUGCUGCCCAUAGCUUCCUGUAGAGUUUGCCAGAAUCUAGAAGUGAAUCUUGGGUCUCGAUCUGACACAAUGAUUGAAGGGACGCCGUGCAAUCUUACUAUCUCUUUUAUGUACAGUUGUGCCAACUUAGCCAUUGACAUUCUCAGAUUUAUUGCUAAAAAGUGAGAAGUUUUUGUCAAUCGGUCAAUGAUGACCCAGAUAGAAUCAUUACCUCUUACUGUCCGUGGUAAAUGAGUGACGAAAUCCAUAGUAAUGCUAUCUCAUUUCCAUUAUAGUAUGUCUAAUUGUUAUAGCAAUCCUUCAGGUCUCUGAUGUUCCACUUUUUCCUUCUGACAAAUUAAACAAGCCGUUACAAAUUGUGUUACUUCCUUCUUCAUUCCUGGCCACCAAAAGGACUCCUUGAGAUCUUGAUACAUUUUAGUCAUACCGGGAUGUAUGCUAAAACGACUUUUGUGUCCUUCUUCAAAGAUUAGUCUUUUUAUAUCUGCAUUGUCUGGUACACAUAUUCUACUUCUAAAUCUUAAUACAUCAUCAGAUCCUAGCCUAAAUUCUUUAGCCUUAUCUGUACCGAUCAUUUUUGUUAUCUUUUUCAAGCCAAGAUCUGACAAUUGCUUCUCUUUAAUUAAAAUAAGAAAAUCGCUAGAUAUAGUCAGACUACUACAUCUAAUGAAAUCUUCUCCAAACUCCAUCUGUAAC